AUGAAAGAUACAAAUCUUGAAGAUUCUGAUGAGCUCUUUGAUUCUACACCAGAGAGUUCCGAUGAUUAUGUUCCAGAUACCACUUCUGAAAGUGAAAGUGAUGUUAGCCUUACACUAAACCAGGCAAAACGUCGGCUUCUUGAUGAACUGGAUAUUGAUCAGUCUGGCUCAGUGAGUUGCCCUGAUUGUGACACCACAACGUCAGACAAAAUGCACAAUGUUGCGUCUGAAGCAUCUGGAACAGGAGAAGAACCCAGUUCAAGUCAGAACACAACAGACGGAAUAGUUGUUAGUGCAUACCAAAAAAGAGAUGGUGCUAGAGUGUACAACAAGAGACAUUACUGCUUGUACUGCAGUAAACCCUAUGCUAAGAUGGCAAGGCAUCUAGAAAGUUCACAUGAAAAUAAGUCUGAUGUGGCUAGAGCUCUAAGCUUUCCAAAGGGUUCAAAGGAGAGGAAAAACCAGCUUGAUUAUAUUCGCAACAGAGGAAACUAUGCUCACAAUGCAGCUGUUAUGGAGUCAGGAAAGGGCGAACUAGUGCCAUUUAAACGACCACGUAAAGAAGUGCAGGGAGAAGAUUUCAUGCAUUGUGCAUACUGUCAAGGACUUUUUACAAGAAAGGUCCUGUGGAGACACAUGCGUACUUGUAGACUUCAACCACAAUCAGACCCUCCCAAACCAGGAAAAAACCGUGUUCAGUCCAUGUGUACCUACACAGGGCCUGUGCCUUCAAACAUGACCAAACAACUGUGGGGAGUAAUCAGUGCCAUGAAUCCUGACCCAAUCACAGAUAUAAUAAAAAAUGACAGAGUAAUUACUGAUAUUGGGCAGCACUUGUUGAACAAAGGUGGGCUAUCAGAUAAGAAUAAACAAUGUGUGCGGGAGAAGAUGCGAGAACUGGGAAGAUUGAUUCACAAUGCCAGGAAAGUCACCUCCUUAAAAACACUGGAAGAUUGUGUAAAUCCAAAGAAGUACAUGGAGACCGUCAAAGCUGUUAAGUAUACAUGUGGGUAUGACAGUGAAACUGACAAAUUCUUGAUUCCAUCUCUUGCUAACAAGCUUGGGAAUUCCCUGGUUAAAGUAUGCAAACUCUUGAAAGCUCAGGGCUUAAUCUCCAAUGACAAACAGCUUGUGAAGAAUGCCAGUGAGUUUCAAGAAGUCCAUGCGAAUAAGUGGAACGAGAUGAUUUCUGCUACAGCAUUGAGGAAUAUCAGGGAAGCAAAGUGGAAUGUGCCCACGCUCAUGCCCUUUACUGAAGACGUACAAAAACUGCAUACUUUUCUCAGUCAAGUGCAAGAUGAGUGGUUCAACCUGCUCUCUGAAAGUCCAUCUACUAAAGCCUGGAUGGAGCUGGCCAAGGUGUGUCUAGCUCAGAUGAUUCUCUUUAAUCGGCGGAGAGAAGGAGAGGUGGCGAGCAUGCCUUUGUCUGUGUUUUUAUCAAGAGACACUUCUGAUCCACAUGAGGAUGUGGACUGGGCUCUCUCCGAAGUGGAGAAGAAACUCUGCAGACACUUCACAAGGGUUAUCACCAGGGGAAAGCGUGGUCGGCCAGUUCCAGUCCUUCUGACUCCAAAAAUGCUGUGUUCCUUAGAACUCCUUGUUAAGCAGAGAGAGGCGUGUGGGGUUUUAAAAGACAAUGCCUAUAUGUUUGCUAGACCAGAAGCCAUGACACAUUUCCGAGGGUCAGACUGCCUCCGUGGCUUUGCAAAGGCUUGUGGUGCAAAGUGUCCCAAGGCACUGACAUCUACCAGGCUGCGUAAGCAUGCCGCGACCCUUUCAACAGUGCUGAACAUGACCGACACCGAGAUGGACCAGCUGGCAAACUUUCUCGGGCACGACAUCAGAAUCCAUCGUGAGUUCUAUCGACUCCCUGAGAAGACCCUGCAACUAGCCAAGAUCAGCAAAGUUUUAAUGGCUCUUGAGCAAGGAAGAUUAGCUGAGUUCCAUGGCAAGAACUUGGAUGAAAUUGGGAUAGAUCCUGAUGGUUUGUUAAUUUAA
rnacentral:lncRNA from 1 species